rnacentral:rRNA from 1 species
AUUUUCUUAGAUAAUUUUAAAGAGUUUUAUUAGGAUUCAAUUACUCUUUAAAGAGUUUUUAUUAGGAUUCAAUUACUCUUGUAAUUUGCCUAUAAAUAGGCUUGUUUUCUACACAUUGAAAGAAGAAUAAAAAGAAGAGUAUUUGUUUUCUUUCAAAUUUGUGUGAGGCAAAUUUUUUUAGAGUAGAGUGAUUCUUCUCUUGCUAUUUAGUUUGGAGUUUGUUACUUUCGAGGGUAUUUCGGAGUUGCAAAUAUUCAAAUUUCUUUCCCGUUCAUCGGUGUUUCUAGAGGUUCUUCUUCUAGGGGUUUCGUAGGGAGCCGCUCAAUCAUUGGCGUUUUUGGUUACAAGUUAACCAAGGGUUCCAUAGGGCAAAUCUAUCCUUUUUAUUUAUUUAUUUAUUUAUUAUUUAACUAAUUUUAUUCUCGUUUUAUUUCUAAUUUGUGUUUCUCUUGUGUCUAGAUCCAGGUUUCCGCAUCAGCCGUAAACGAUGGAUACUAGGUGUUGUGCGUAUCGGCCCGUUCAGUGCUGUAGGUAAUGCGUUAAGUAUCUCACCUAGGGAGUACGUUCUCAAUAAUGAAACUCGAAGGAAUUGACGGGGGCUCGCACAAGUGGUGGAGCAUGUGGUUUAAUUGGAUGCGAAGCAAAGAACCUUACCAAGGCUUAACAUGUCCCGAAUCCUCUUAAAAGAGAGGGGUGCCUUCAAGAACGCGGACACGGGUGGUGCAUGGCUGUCGUCAGCUCGUGUCAUAAGGUGUUGGGUUAAGUCUCGCAAUGAGUGCAACCCUCGUGUUUAGUUUCCAACAUUGAGUUAGGAACCCUGAGCAGAUUGUCGGUGAUAAGCCAGAAGAAGGUGAGGAUGACGUAAAAUCAUCAUGCCCCUUAUGCCCUGGGUGACACACGUGCUACAGUGGACAGGACAAAGGGUCACGAUCCUGCGAGGGUGAGCUAACUCCAAAAACCUGUCCUCAGUUUAGAUUGCAAGCUGCAACUCAUCUGCAUGAAGCCAGAAUCGCUAGUAAUCGCCGGUCAGCCAUAUGGUGGUGAAUUUGCUCCCGGGCCUUGUACACACCGACCAUCACACUAUGGGAGCUGGCCAUACCCAAAGUUGUUACCUUAACCGUAAGAAGGGGAAGCCGAAGGCAGGGCUAGUGAUUGGAGUGAAGUCAUAACAAGGUAGCCAUACUGGAAGGUGCGGCUG